GCCUUCGUGGUGUAGUGGUCAGCACGCUCGGCGCAUAUUCGAGAGGUACGUGGUUCGAGUCCCGGUGAGGGCA
rfam:Stegodyphus mimosarum contig33939, whole genome shotgun sequence.